rnacentral:rRNA from 1 species
AGAGGUGGGCGAGCGUUGUUCGGAUUACUGGGCGUAAAGGGUGCGUAGGCGGUUCCGUAUGUCGGGGUGUGAAAGCUCAUUGUUCAUCAGUGAAAUGGCACUCGAAACUGCGGGGCUAGAGUACGGGAGAGGAGAGCGGAAUUCUCGGUGUAGCGGUGAAAUGCGUAGAUAUCGAGAGGAACGCCGGUGGCGAAGGCGGCUCUCUGGAACGAUACUGACGCUGAGGCACGAAAGCUGGGGGAGCAAACAGGAUUAGAUACCCUGGUAGUCCCAGCCGUAAACGUUGUGCACUUGGUGUAGGUGGGUUUGUCCCCAUCUGUGCCGGAGUUAACGCGUUAAGUGCACCGCCUGGGGAGUACGGCCGCAAGGCUA